AUUCAGAUGAUGAGUCUCAAAUAGGAUGAAACGUGUGUACUGAAU
rnacentral:hammerhead_ribozyme from 1 species